rnacentral:rRNA from 1 species
AUACGGAGGGGGCUAGCGUUGUUCGGAAUUACUGGGCGUAAAGCGCGCGUAGGCGGAUAGUUAAGUCGGGGGUGAAAUCCCGGGGCUCAACCCCGGAACUGCCUCUGAUACUGGCUGUCUUGAGUUCGAGAGAGGUGAGUGGAAUUCCGAGUGUAGAGGUGAAAUUCGUAGAUAUUCGGAGGAACACCAGUGGCGAAGGCGGCUCACUGGCUCGAUACUGACGCUGAGGUGCGAAAGCGUGGGGAGCAAACAGGAUUAGAUACCCUAGUAGUCC